rnacentral:rRNA from 1 species
CCUACGGGAGGCAGCAGUAGGGAAUAUUGCUCAAUGGGCGAAACCCUGAAGCAGCAACGCCGCGUGGAGGAUGAAGGUUUUCGGAUUGUAAACCCCUUUUGUUAGAGAAGAAAAUGACUGUAUGUAACGAAUAACCACCGGCUAACUUCGUGCCAGCAGCCGCGGUAAUACGGAGGGUGCAAGCGUUACUCGGAAUUACUGGGCGUAAAGGGAGCGUAGGCGGGAUAGUAAGUCAGAUGUGAAGUCCUACGGCUUAACCAUAGAACUGCAUUUGAAACUGGUAUUCUAGAGUACAGGAGAGGUAGGUGGAAUUCUUGGUGUAGGGGUAAAAUCCGUAGAGAUCAAGAAGAAUACUCAUUGCGAAGGCGACCUGCUAGAAUAUAACUGACGCUGAUGCGCGAAAGCGUGGGGAGCAAACAGGAUUAGAUACCCUUGUAGUC